rnacentral:piRNA from 1 species
UAAUUUUCUUUUUUUUAUGCA